rnacentral:misc_RNA from 1 species
UGAUGGUGAUGGUGAUGGUGAUGAUGAUGAUGAAGAGGACGGAACCAGUCAUCCUUUCCACUCCAUCUCCUCGCGUUCUUCUUCCCAGGCUUCUCUUUUGGCUUUAAACUCUUCCUAUGAGAAGCAGCAUCAACAUGGAAGCAACCAAGACUGGCUUCAAGAAGCAGCAUUUAUGAAUGAUGAUGCAAGUUCUCAAAGUUCGUUCGACUACUCGACUUUCAAUUACUGCUCAGGCAAUGAAGAUGACAUCGAGAACAGAGGAGAGCCUCACUGCUUUACGAGGACCCAUAAGUCUACAAGAUUCUGUCCUGCAGACAGCUUGUGUGC